ACAGAUAUUGCAAAAUUAUUGUUAAUUUUAUUGGCUAGGUAGCUAGCUUGCCGUACAACUAUGGAAGAUUUCUUAAGAAAACAUGUGAUGUGUAUGUAGGUCCAAUAGCACAAGGGAAAAAAAUUGAUAAUGCACUUCUACAGAGAACUCAAAUCUCUGCAAGAAUUUAAAAAAAAAAAAAAAAAAAAAAAAGAAGUGAAAACGGGAAAGAGAGAGAGUCUUAUUUUUCUCUGAGUUUUUGUUUCUUUUUAUAUAAGAAGUCCUAUUUGUGGUUGCCUACUAGAGGCCUUCUCUGCCCCUCAAUGUAGGAGAGCCGCCCUUGGGCCUAGAAAAAUCUGGAACUAGAUGUGGGCAUUUUCUUCUAGCGAUCUUUGAGAGAGAGUUUUAGCAGAUGAAGCUCUACCUAGUCUUUUCACAGUUGAGAGGAGAACGAGCCUUCCUUUGCCUUUGUUCAGUGCUGCUCCUUUUGAUGAAGGUUUGUUUGGAAGCUUACCGAGUCAAUGUGAGCUCUCUUCUUCUUCUUCGAUGGUAUAAGAUUAGUUUCAUCUAGUGGCGGUUUGCUUGUCGGAUGCAAUUCAAAAAUCAACCCAGAAGGCACAAGUGGGAUGCUGAAAAACCCCACUACCACUGACCUCUACUUGUUGUUGUCGGUAGGUGGCUUACAUGGCUACUUCCUCUUUGUGGAUUCUAGUUCCUUGAUGCUUUUCUUGGUUGUGCUUAGCACCAAUAGUCUUUGAUUCCUUGGGUGUUUAUUGCUUAGGGCCGUUAUAUUAUACGUUGAUGCUGUGCAUGGCCCCGGCCUUGA